rnacentral:lncRNA from 1 species
UACCUUGUGUCCACUUUUAACUACUCGGAAGCAUUGAUGUGAAGAUAAUUUCUUCUCUCUUUUUUGUGAUUUUCUUGUUUAAUUAUCUUUUUAUUUUGUGAUUUUCUUGUUUUGUUGUUUUUUUUGUUGUAGGUCAAGCGAGAAAGAUAUGUUCUUGUUCAACAAGAUGAUCCACACAUGAAGAAGGCGGUCUUAGGGUAUGAGGUGAUGGGUACUCAUCCCUCAAAGAGAUUACCUUUAAUUGCCUGGCUCGGAGAAAUUACUCUCUAUGUGGCUCGACUAUCAGAGAGAUUACUUUCAAAAUGAUCCAACUAUCGAAGAGAUUACUCUCAAUGGGGCCCGACUAUCGGAAAGAUUACUCUCAAAAUGACCCGAUUAUCGGAGAUAUUACUCUCAAAUGACCCGACUAUCGAAGAGAUUCUCAAUGUGGCCCGACUAUCAGAGAGAUUACUCUCAAAAUGACCCAACUAUCAGAGAAAUUACUCUUAAAAUGACAUGACCAUCGAAGAGAUUACUCUUAAACUGACUUGACUAUCGAAGAGAUUACUCUAAAAAUGACCCGACUAUCGAAGAGGUUACCCUCAAUACGGUCCGAUUAUUGGAGAGAUUACUCUUAGUGUGCCCCGACUAUCAAAGAGAUUACUCUCAAUGUGCCUCGACUAUCGAAGUGAUUACUCUCAAUGUAGUCCGACUAUCGGUGAGGCAAACCUAAGAUGCAAAUGGACUCAUAUGUCUACCUCAAGAUUGACAAUUUAUAGUUCCUUUUAUGGACAAACCCGCAAAAAGGCCAACUUAAGGUGAAAAAGGACUCAUAUAUCCACCUUAAGUUUGGAAAGUCAUAAAGCUUCAACUCGAAGACAAUAUCGAUUAGAACACUUGGAAAACUUCAAACAUUUGGCGGACUUUGCAUACUUCAACUCGAAGAUUCGGAGGGCUUGAACAAUUCAACUUUAAGAUCGGCGAAUUUACAGACUGAAACUUGAAGACCGAAGGACUUGAAGACUUCAACUUGCAGGGCAUAAAAAUUUAACUUUAAGACCGGCGAAUUUGAAGACUUAAACAUUGAGACUUGGAGAGCUUAAAUAUUUCAGCUUCUCUUUUGCUAUACAUUGUCCGACUUUUAACAUAGUCGCAUAAUUUUCAGCAUUACGCGC